rnacentral:ribozyme from 1 species
AAAAGAAAAAGACUACUAAAAAGGCACCGAAAAAGAAGACAAAGGAAGAAAGCAAAGAGUAAACUACUCUAUUUUUUUCGCAAUUUACCCAUUUUUAAAUCCCCUGGAUUUACCCUUUUGUUUUG